rnacentral:rRNA from 1 species
AACAGGAUUAGAUACCCUGGUAGUCCACGCCGUAAACGAUGUCGACUUGGAGGUUGUUCCCUUGAGGAGUGGCUUCCGGAGCUAACGCGUUAAGUCGACCGCCUGGGGAGCACGGCCGCAAGGUUAAAACUCAAAUGAAUUGACGGGGGCCCGCACAAGCGGUGGAGCAUGUGGUUUAAUUCGAUGCAACGCGAAGAACCUUACCUACUCUUGACAUCCAGAGAACUUAGCAGAGAUGCUUUGGUGCCUUCGGGAACUCUGAGACAGGUGCUGCAUGGCUGUCGUCAGCUCGUGUUGUGAAAUGUUGGGUUAAGUCCCGCAACGAGCGCAACCCUUAUCCUUUGUUGCCAGCGAUUCGGUCGGGAACUCAAAGGAGACUGCCGGUGAUAAACCGGAGGAAGGUGGGGAUGACGUCAAGUCAUCAUGGCCCUUACGAGUAGGGCUACACACGUGCUACAAUGGCGCAUACAAAGAGAAGCGACCUCGCGAGAGCAAGCGGACCUCACAAAGUGCGUCGUAGUCCGGAUCGGAGUCUGCAACUCGACUCCGUGAAGUCGGAAUCGCUAGUAAUCGUGGAUCAGAAUGCCACGGUGAAUACGUUCCCGGGCCUUGUACACACCGCCCGUCACACCAUGGGAGUGGGUUGCAAAAGAAGUAGGUAGCUUAACCUUCGGGAGGGCGCUUACCACUUUGUGAUUCAUGACUGGGGUGAAGUCGUAACAAGGUAACC